rnacentral:lncRNA from 1 species
GCCAAAGGCAGGCGCCAAACUGCUGAGCCACCCAGGGAUCCCCUAGUACAUUAUUUUUUAAUGUUAAAGAUUAAGUGAGAUUUUAUUGAAACAGAUCUUAUUAGUAAAUACAUAAGUAAAGUAGUUCAAAACAUUAGUAAAAUAGCAUUCAGCACUUUUUACUAAAUUUUACAAGUUUUUAUCUUUUUUUAGGAACCGUCAAGAAAAGAAGAUUUGUUGUGACAAUACAAAGUUCAUGAUAAUUGAUUUGCAUAAUAACUGACUUCGGUUAACAUACUGGUCUUGGCUGAGGACAUCCCGACAAACUGGAAAAUUGGAAGUGAAUUGUGAACCUGUAAUGCCA